GGGUCGGUUUGGAGGUUUGGGUUUGGGUUUAGGGAGGUAAAAACCAUCCCCAACCGGCCCCGUUGCCACGCCUACUUCUCAUUCUCACGAUCUCAAUUCAAAUUCAAACACAUAAGUUCCUCUCUCUAACUAGCUCCACCAAAAAAACAACCUCAGUCGCGCGGGAAAUCGCCUUCAGUAGCGGCAGAGCCCCAAUGACCCUUAAGCUUAUAUCAAAAUGCUCAUCUCCUCACCCUCUUCCAUAAUCCACCAUUAAUUUAAACCAAAAACCCACUUAACUCCCUGAAUCGACCCAAAGUACCAAGAACCCUAGAAAAUAAAUUAUAAAAUUAGAUGCUCUUGAGGGGAAAUCAAAGCUAACAGCCAGAGGGCUUCUAUUCUCCUCAAAGAAAGCUACAUCGUGAUAUGAAAUUUAUAGCAAAUGGAGGAAGGAGAGGUGAGUCACCAACCCGAAAUCAAGGACGAAGGUGAAAAUGAAUAUGAAGAUGAAACUAAUGCAGGGCUCUCUGGACAUGUGACUUGACAUGGGACAAGGUUGGAAUGACAUGACUCGAGGUGGGAAUUAUGAAGAAACCUAUGGCAUGAGAGAUGUUGGAUGGCUUGUAAAUGAAGGAAUAAGUGGGAUAUGAAUUAGGGUUAGGACUUAGCGGUUAGGUAGUUGACUUUGGUCAAGUAGUUGACCAAAAAGUCAAUAGUUGACCAAAGUCAACUAAAGGUCAAAGUUUGCAUUUUUGGUGUAAUUUUUGUAAUUGAAUCUUUUAUGGUGUAAUGGGAUAUUUGAUGAUUUAUAAUGCAAAUUAGAUCUUUGAAUGGUAA